AGCAACUUGACGCAGCGGAAGCGUGUUGGGCUCAUAGGAUGUGUCACGUGACCAAACUACCCAAAAGUCCCUGGAUCGAAACCAGGAGUUGCUA